GGGACGAUUGUUUGGCACGCGGCUGGCGCCGCGCAGGUCGUAUCGGCCCCUUCCUUUCGACAUCUCUGUGCCAUCCAAAAUUGGUAUUUAUCAACUUGCUGUCCUUCACAGUCAGGACGCGGCAAGUUGUUACCCUCGGUGAAUCUAGAAGGUCCCUUGAAGUUUCUGUGAUAGCUGAUUUAGUGAUUUUCGGGGCGCGUAAGAGAGGUGCGAUUUCUAGCACUCGGAACAAGUCGCUUGAAAACAGAAAUCGGGGCUUCGACCGAGUCCUAGUCUCACCACUGACAAGUACUUUUGCUACCGUGUAUCAUACUCCUAAACCUCAUUUCAAGAUGGCAGUGGCAUCGGUGUGGGGCUCUAUCAAACAGGCAGAGACCAGUCUGCAGGAUGUCAUGUCAGAGCAGAUGGCUGUAGAUUUACAAAACAAGGAAAAUGCACUGGCUGGCUUGGCUGCAGUGCCAGCUGUCCACCCCAA